GUCUGAUGUGAAAGCCUUCGGCUUAACCGGAGAAGUGCAUCGGAAACUGGAUAACUUGAGUGCAGAAGAGGGUAGUGGAACUCCAUGUGUAGCGGUGGAAUGCGUAGAUAUAUGGAAGAACACCAGUGGCGAAGGCGGCUACCUGGUCUGCAACUGACGCUGAGACUCGAAAGCAUGGGUAGCGAACAGGAUUAGAUACCCUGGUAG
rnacentral:rRNA from 1 species